rnacentral:lncRNA from 1 species
CGGUGAUGUGUUUGUAGAUCUUACUUUACUAAACAUUCUUGCUGCUUACAAUUAUCUCUAUCUAUAACAGUACUUUCUGUGGAAAAUGUUAUUGAAAAUCUUUCAAAUUUUAAGAAAAUUGUUAAAAAUUGACUAUGAAGGGCAAUAACUCCUUAGGGGGUCAAUUGACUAUUUUGGUCAUAGUGACUUAUUUUUAGUUCUUACUUUGCUGUACAUUAUUGCUGUUUACAGUUUAUCUCUAUCUAUAAUAAUAUUCAAGAUAACAAAAAAACAGCAAAAUUUCCUCAAAAUUACCAAUUCAGGGGCAGCAACCUAACAACUGAUUAUCUGAUUCAUCUGAAAAUUCCAGGGCAGAUAGAUCGUGACCUGAUCAACAAUUUUACUUCCUGUCAGAUUUGCUCUUAAUGCUUUGGUUUUUGAGUUAAAAGCCAAAAACUGCAUUUUACCCCCAUGUUCUAUUUUUAGCCAUGGUGGCCAUCUUGGUUUGUUGGCCGAGUUACCGGACACAUUUUUUAAACUAGAUACCCCAAUGAUGAUUAUGGCCAAGUUUGGUUAAAUUUGGCCCAGUAGUUUCAGAGGAGAAGAUUUUUCUAAAAAGAUUACUAAGAUUUACGAAAAAUGGUUAAAAAUUGACUAUAAAGGGCAAUAACUCCUAAAGUGGUCAACUGACCAUUUUGGUCAUGUUUAACUUAUUUGUAGAUCUUACUUUGCUGAACAUUAUUGCUGUUUACAGUUUAUCUCUAUCUAUAAUAAUAUUCAAGAUAAUAACCAAAAACAGCAAAAUUUCCUUAAAAUUACCAUUUCAGGGGCAGCAACCCAACAACGAAAUGUCCGAUUCAUCUGAAAAUUUCAGGGCAGAUAGAUCUUGACCUGAUAAACAAUAUUACCCCAUGUCAAGAUUUGCUCUCUAAAUGCUUUGGUUUUUGAGUUAUAAGCCAAAAACUGCAUUUUACCCCUAUGUUCUAUUUUUAGCCAUGGCGGCCAUCUUGGUUGGUUGGCCGGGUCACCGGACACAAUUUUUUAAACUAGAUACCCCAAUGAUGAUUGUGGCCAAGUUUGGUAAAAAUUGGCCCAGUAGUUUCAGAGGAGAAGAUUUUUGUAAAAGCUAACGACGGACGACGACGACGACGACGGACGACGGACGAUGGACGCCGGACGCCAAGUGAUGGGAAAAGCUCACUUGGCCCUUUGGGCCAGGUGAGCUAAAAAUAAU